GGUGCCCGUCGGGCCUCCGCCGUGUGGCGUGGGGCGCCGUCGGCUGCGUGGUUCCCUUCCGGCCGGCCCUGCAGGAGGAUGUUGGCCGGGCCUGGGGGUGGCGCGACGCCCGCCGCUCCCCGUCCCCAGCGGCCCGUUCUCCCGAGCUGGGAAAGCCUGGGGAGGCGGCGGGGCACCGGGAGUGCCCGCCGAGGGCUCCCUGCGCUCCGUGGCCGCGUCCCCGGGCCUGGGUCGGCGCUUGGGGCAGUUGGAGACGGGAUUCUUGGGUCACACAGACAAGUCUUGAGAAUGGGGGCCGUUACAUUUUUCUCUACCUGAAGACAAGAAAUAUUCUGCACAUACUGAGCUCGCAACUACAGGGAGGCCUGAGUACUGCCUUGGCACAAGAUGGCUAGAGAAUCGAGGGAAAGCACAUCCCUGGAUGCCCAAGCUGCAGAGGACCAGAUGGAGCUUCUUGUCAUAAAAGUAGAGGAGGAAGAAGCCUCUGUCUUUGCAGAGGAGGCCAGCUUGCCCAACAGCUCUGCUCUGGGCUCUGAACGCUCCCGCCAGCGCUUUCGAGGCUUUCGGUACCCAGAGGCCACGGGUCCCCGCGAGGCGCUGAGCCGGCUCCGGGAGCUCUGCCGACAGUGGCUGCGGCCCAACCUGCACAGCAAGGAGCAGAUCCUGGAGCUGCUGGUGCUGGAGCAGUUCCUGACCAUCCUGCCCGGGGACCUGCAGCGCUGGGUGCGCAGGCAGCGCCCAGAGAGCGGGGAGGAGGUCGUGGCGCUGUUGGAGUGUUUGGAGAGGCAGCUGGAGGAGCCAACGCCGCAGGUUCCACCUGGCAGCCAGGGGCAAGAACUGCUUGGCUAUAAGAUGUCACUGUUGACACCAGCUCAGGGGUCACAGAGUAGCCAAUUCCAGCCAAUGAAGGCUUUAUUGAAGCACAAACCUCUGGGAACCCAGCCUUUACAAGACAGAGUUCUCCAGGUUCCUGGGCUUACCCAGGAAGGGAGCUGCAGAGAAGACACAGUGGUAGCCGCCAGGCUCACUCCAGAGUCCCAGGGGUUGCUGAAAAUGGACAGUGUGGCCCUGUCCCUCACUCCUGAGUGGACACAGCCGGAUUCAUCUCAGAUGAACCUCUACAGGGAUGAAAGGCUGGAGAACUAUAGCAGCCUCAUCUCCUUAGGUGCUGAUGCACAGACCAAGGUCAGGGACUUGCCUCCAGCCGAGCCACAUCCAGAGCAGGAGCCCAGCCAGACACCAGGGCACCUGGGUGGUGACACUGCCCGGGUUACUACAGGUGCACAAGCUGGUGAGCCGGAGAGUAGGCUGCAGAGAAAGCCGAGAAGUGCCUCAGGGAGGAGGCGGCACAUUUGCCUUGAAUGUGGGAAGAGUUUUGCUCAGAGUUCAGGCCUUAGUAAACACAGGAGAAUCCACACUGGAGAGAAACCCUACGAAUGCGAAGAGUGUGGCAAAGCCUUCAUUGGGAGCUCUGCCCUCAUUAUUCACCAGAGAGUCCACACUGGGGAGAAGCCAUAUGAGUGUGAGGAAUGUGGCAAGGCCUUUAGUCACAGCUCAGACCUUAUCAAGCACCAGAGAACCCACACUGGGGAGAAGCCCUACGAGUGUGAGGACUGUGGGAAAACCUUCAGCCAAAGCUGCAGCCUCCUUGAACAUCACAGAAUCCAUACAGGGGAGAAGCCAUACCAGUGCAACCUGUGCGGCAAAGCCUUUAGGCGGAGUUCCCAUCUCCUGAGACAUCAGAGGAUCCAUGGUGAUAAAAACCAUCAGGAACCUGAGCAUGGGGAGGCCUGGGAAUGCCAGAGUCGGGUGGAAGGCCAGUGGGAAAAUGUUGAAACUCUUGUGUCUUACAAAUGCAGUGAAUGUGAGAGAAGUUUUACUCAGAAUAUAGGCCUUCUUGAACAUCAAAAAAUCCACACUGGUGAGAAGCCCUAUCAGUGUGACACAUGUGGAAAAGGCUUCACCCGAACCUCAUACCUUGUUCAACAUCAGCGAAGCCAUGUAGGGAAGAGAAUUCCAUCGCAGUGAUCCAUGCUGUGCGUGACACAGGAGGUGCUCAUUCCUCAUCGAGCUGAGGCCACCCUGGGGCCCAGCCCAUCCUGACUACAAAGUGUGGUCUGGGGCUUUAUUUACCACCACAUAUCACUACGUGUUAGAAAAUACGGAGUCUGACUGACAGAAAUUGUUUUCUAAUUUCUGGAGCAUGAUUAGGCAAAAGCUUACUUGCUGGGAGGCUAGGGGAGAGUUGUCUGGAAGAGGUGGACCGGCUUUGUUUCCCGCCCCUGGGAUUAAUGGACUCGGAUUGACUACUUCCUCUCAGCCAGCACUUUAUGAUGUCUGCUGGGUGUGGGUAUGAGGGAGGCUGCCUUGUGACUGUUGACUAGAAUUAGUCAGAUUCAUGGCGUCUUAUAUCCCUCGUUGUGCCUUGCAAACAGGUGCUAAUUAAAUAUGUAAUAAAUGUGCCAGUGAGAGUACCUGCCUAGCUCUGGAAGUUUUACAUUAUUUAGAUUUCUUUGGAAUGUAUCACCAAAGAAAACUUGUAUCUAAUUUCUGGGAUUCUACUGUUUUGAGUCAAUUUUGUGCAUUUUUUUGCCAAGUACAUGGGAUUGGCAGAGUAGAGGUGCAGGUGGGUUACUGUGAUAGGAAGGAUCCAUGUUUCUCUACAGUACCUGUAUUUAUUUCUUAGUCUUUAAAUAAUUGUGAAUGUGUGUCAUCCAUUGAAUUCCAUUUUUUAGUUAAUUUUUCCUUGAUGUUAAUUUUGGUACUUUUUAGGGAAAAAUUUUCCUAUUCAGGCAGUUAUCAAGAUGAAAUCAGUUAUCCAGUCAGAAUAAAAUCAUCAAUUUUCUAAUGCUUAGCCUCUUGGUACUUGGCCUUUUAGUUUUCUUUGGCCUAACCAAGUGCCCCCAGUGCUGUAGACAUUAUCCUGCCCCCUCCAACAUGUUGUGUAAAUUGCAUCAAAGCUCAUCCCUGCUAAAUUCACACUUCCUCCAGGUCAGUGGAGUCACAUCAGAUAUUUAAAGUAAGAAAUCAUGGUUUCAGAACCCUACUAUUAGUGUCUGAUAGUUCUAGUCUUAUUAUAGAUUGAUUCCCAAAUCACCUGGGUAGUAACAUCACAAUCAUUUCUGAUGAGAAUUUUAACCAUUAAGCUAACUCCUCAGGCUGUCUGCCUUCCAUUAAACAUACUCUCUGGACCAUCCAUUUUUCUUCUUCAUAGGAAUCAAAAUUUCAGUGUUGUUAAUUCAAAUGAGAAAAUGUUUUUUAGUCACAUUAUACCAGUAGUAUUUAUGUUUCAAAUGAAGUUGUUUCUACAGGAGUAUUUUGGAGUGACUACUUUCUUACAAACUUUUGUUAGUGUUAUCAGUUCUUACUAAAGAAAUAUUCUUUUGUUAGUACAUCAGUUCUCAUUGCUCACCUGGCUUCUGGCACCUGCAGUCUCUUCCAUAUUUAUAGUAUCUGUCUAAGAUUCUAAUUUGGAUAUAGCAAAUUUUCAGUCAUUUUCCACAACUAAUGGUUAGGCAAUGUGAUAUAUUAUUUCCUGCUGUACUUAUUUUUACUUUAUUUAUUAGGAAUUGAACUGUCAUCCAAAAUCCUUUGUAGAUCUACCUAAGUCCCCCCCCCCCCCUUUUUUUUUUUUUGCCAGUUUCCAAGGCCUGGUACUUCCAGGGUUUCAGAGAUCUAAUGUAAAGUGUUUUUAUUACAGUAAUAAACCAUAUUGUUAUUUUAAUUGAAUGGAUUCUUAAGUUGUUGAUAAGAAUACAUUCCAUGGUUCCCAAACUUUCUGAGCAUAUAUUAGUCAGGAGUCUGCAGAGAAAUAAACCAGUAGUGUGUGUGUUGGGGGGGUAGUUAAGGAAUUGGUUCCUGUGACUCUGGAAGCUGGGAAUUCACUAAAACAAUGUUUCCACUGUCUGCCAGCUAGAGACCCAGGAGAGCCUAGGGGUGCAAGUUCCAGUCCCAGUGCCAUCAGACUUGAUCAGAGAAGAGCCACUUUUUCAGUGUGAGUCUAAAAGUCAGAAAAGAUUGAUGUGUCAGCUCAUUGUAGUUAGGUAGAAAGCAUACACAUUUCUUGUGGAAAUAGCCUUUCUCUUCUCUUGAGGCCUUUAACUGAUUGAGUGAGGGCUACCUACAUUAGGGAGGCAAUCUAGGAGUCUACUGGUUACUAUUUUUUUUUAUCAUCGCAAAACACCCUCAGAUGCACACUCAGAAUAUUAGACCAAAUAUCUGGUACUUCAUGGCCCAGAUAUAUACAAUAUAUACAAUUAAUACAAUAUAUACAAUUAAUCAGCACAAUACUAUACUUAAGGCACUGAAAUACUAACCAUGCUCCCCCUCUCUGACCUUUAGUCACUUUAAUUGGCCGUAGGAGCCUGGGAAAUGAUGUCUGUAGCCUCCUACCUGGCUUACAGAUCAGGAUGGAGGAUUGGUCCGAAGACUAGAGACAAGGUAUAUGGGCUGGCUCACCAUCACAGCAUCCUCUAGCAGAGUUCUUUGGGGACUCACUUGCAAAAUAGAAAUUGACAAGAGCCCACUGUGCAACCCAGACAAGGCUUAUUGGGGGCUUUAUGCGCCAGCACAAGGGAGACAGCAGCGCGGGAGGGAGAUUUGAGGGUUAGUUCCGCCAAGUGGCUCAGUAAGGGAAGCUGGACAGUGGGGAGGCACAGUGGCUCCCUGCUGGCACACUGCACUUGGAUCUGCACCCAGCCCAGAGCUCUGGCUUAUGCUCCUUGGCACACAACACUUUGGUUUGCACCUGCCUGGUUCUGUUACACAACAACAACAAGCUCAAAAUGUUUGUGGGAAAAGGGACAUAGUGUUGCUAACUACCAGAAAGGACACACAUUGGUCACACUGAGCUAUCCUGGGAAUGUGUGUGGGUCAGGGAAGUUCCUAACAGGGCAGUAGGGGGUCUUUUGUGGUCAGGGCAGGGUCUAGAUUCUCUUUUCUAUGGACUGGUUUGGAGCUGGAGGUGGGUCCAUGGGAGGGUCUUAAUUUAGUGGGCCUGCUUCUAGCCUGUUUCAUUCCUGUUGAAUAAAUGAUUCCAAAAAUUAGCUUUACUUGUUCUUUUGAGUUAUUAACAUAACAUUGCCUGAGACCAGAGUGUUCACAUUCCUAUUUCCAGAAAUAAAAGUCUUUCCUGUUUCUAAACAACUUACAUCUGACAGUCACUCAUUCAGCAAAACUGAUUGUUAGAUCAGGAGCUAAGGAAUUAAUGAUAAACAACACAAUGUCUCUGCCUUUAAAAAGCAUAAGAACUAAAUUCUCUUCCACCUUCUAACCAAGGUAUUUCAUCCAUGUCUGUCUUCAUUUUCUUGUCAACUUUAUAGUCCUUUUUUCCAAAGAAUGACUGCACCGUAGCUGCCUGGUAGCUUCCAUGCCUCCAUCCAUGACGCAUUGACCAGGAUUCAGCUGCUAAUCGAAGCUCUAAUCCUCCCUGAACGUGAACUGGUAAGUUUUGUGAGGCAUUGGGACAAGGCUAUUUCCCUCUCAUCUCCCUAUCUGACGUACAGGUUGUCUUCCUCACCACUUGUAAGGUCUACCUGAAUGGUAUGAAACUAUGGAUCUGCAGCAUUACAGCUCCACAGCAGUACAAUAUUCUACCAAAUGAGUUUUAGUCAAAUGGCCUCUUUAGGCAAUGUUUGUGGGAAAAGGGACAUAGCGAGCUUGCACAUUUUGUAUUCUUGCUUUUGCUAUCUAUAUAAAUUAAGAAAAUGUCAAUCCAAGAAGGGCUUGCUUUCUUUCCUAACCAAACAUGCCUGCCUUUCCUUGAUAAAUCUGGUGCCAAACAUGGGGCUAAUGCAGCUAUACAGGACAGGAUAGGAUACAUGGGAAGACCUCCCGGGAUUUGAUAGCUUGUGUUUCUGGCCCGCAGGAGGGGGAGAAGUAAAGGCCUUCCCACUGUUGCACUUUACCAUUCACUGACAAGGUUAUAGGAUGUGAAUAGAUUCCCAGUAGUCUACCUGCUGACAAAUGUUUGGGGCUGGAUUGAAUCUAGUUGCCCAGUGCCUUAGUUGUCCAAAUUUUGAUUGUUGAGGCCACUCAAAGAUGAGUCAAUGCAAAUAUGUGUCUACUGAUGUGGAACUGAUCCUUUGAACCCCUUGAACUCUCCUGCUAUAUAUCUUACAUUACUUUAAGGGAAAAAGGCCUCUGAAGCCCAUCCAACUCUUCCACACAGUUCCUGGCUCCUAAUCAAGCAGACAAAUGCUUUCCUGACUGCUGCUGUCUCAACCCUGUAAAUGCCUGCAUUAAACUUACCUGUUUCUGUUUUAAAAAAACAAAGGAGGGGAGCUGUUUCCAAAUUCAACUGACAAGAGUUUGGAAAAACUUUGCAAUGAAGAGAAAAAAGUUGCCCGGGAGGUGAUUGGGGCACGAGUGACUCGGUGAACGGUACAGGUGCCUGCCUCUUCUUGGCACUCUUCAGUACUCUCGGCACCGUUCAGGACUUCUGCUCAGAUCUAAUGGAAUUGUGUGUCGUUUAGCCGGUAAGAUGUAAUGAGUCCUUUUUAUAGUCCAGAUGAAAGUCCCCUCAGAGUUGUGGUUUGCAAAAUUUCCCCCUGUAUGUAGCUUAUCAUUUUUAUCCUCUUAACAGGAUCUUUCAGAGCAAGAGUUUUAAAUUUUCCUGAAGACUUAAUUGUAAUUUCUUUAAUAAAUUGUACUUUUGAUGACGAUUCAAAUAAUAUUUGCCUAGCCCUAGACUCUGAUUUUAUGUUUUCCUCUUAAAGUUUUAGGCCUUACAUUUUAGCUCGUGAUUCAUUUUGAGUUUGUUUCUUUCUGGAUUAUGGGUGUCCAGUGUUCCAGCACCAUUUCCGCAAAAGGCUUUACUUCCUACGCUGAUGUGCGUUGUGCAUCUGGGAGGAGUCAGCUGGUUGUUUUCACUGAAUUGUACGUCCACCUCUGAACAAUGCCUGCUGUUGAUCACCACAGCAAUGUAGUGGACAGUGAAAGAGAGAGACAGAGAGAAAGGUCUUCCUGAUGGAUUUUGAGGUGGACUGAACACUGAGCUGUAUCCACAUCCCAGGUCUCAUUCUGGCUUACCAUUUUAUAACACUGGACAAAUCUUCAUCUUCCUUGGCCUCAUCAUCUGUAGAAAACAGACACUAACUAUCUCAGAGCUGUAAGGAUUAAAGGAGAACAUGUGAAAAUACUCAGUAAGCAUUAUAAAACCGUAGAUAUUAACUCCAAAUUCAUCACAAUGGAUUUUAGUACAAGGCAGGCUUGUAUUGGGGACUUUCACACUUCUCCCCUGUGCCUUCAAACUGUUUCAUGAAAUACAAUCACUUAUUCUUUAACAAACCUAAUGAGGCAUUUUGUUCAACCGUUCACAGGCUCUUGGCAAUGAAACAUACUUAGGAGGUUUUCCAGGGAGAAUCGGGGAAAUAGGACAGAUGGAUGCUGCUAAGUUUAAGGUAUUGUAACAAUGCACAUUGACUCAGGAAGUCUGGGUGAUGCCCCAACUAUUGGUCUACUGAGCAUUUUCAAUAACAAGGGA